AGGAGGAGUGCCUGGUGGUGGGAACACACAAAAUGGAGGGCUGUUUUCUGGCAGUGGAAUUGGAGCCAGUGAUUCAUAAGGGGGCAAAGAGAAUGGCGAGCUAAGGCUAUAGGGUUCUACGUUCGAUGAGAAAACGAAAAAUGUGUUGAGGUUAAUGAGGCUUACCACAUUGAGUUAGAGAAAUGGCAGACAAAGUCAGGUAGAGUAGAAGUAUCAUAACACUUUUUCUCACUCUUGUUGUUUCCAUGGCCAUGACUCCCACUUGCGGAUUUUGUUACUCCAAUGCCACAAGAUGUGAAGAAAGAGGCUUCUGAUUAUGGCUCCACUGUUGCACUCCAAUUUCAGUGCAGUGAAAGACUCAAAGGUGGAACAAUGUGAGGUUUUUAUAUAAAGAAUACAUAGGCUUGGAGCAGGCUCAAGAAUUGGCCAGAGAGAGUAAAGGAAGAGUAGACAAGGGGGUUCUGUUUGGGAUAAAGAUUGAUUCUUUGGGUGACACAACUUUGAUGUACAGUGAUCCUUGGUUGGAGAUGUGAGCAUGAAGGCAUGCCAAAAGUGCAGAAAAGUUGUCACAAAUGCGAGUAUUUUAUGGGAAUUGGCUCACCGGCUCAACAAUGUCCUUUUCAGGGAGUUUUUAUAACUGCAUUUCAUGUUGGUAUAUAUGCUUACUUCGUCAUUGGAAAAGAUGAAUGUUUGGUUUUAUAAACCCUUUUUCUUUUGCUUGCUUUCUACUCAAAGCCCUCAUGCAAACACUACCUCUUCCCUUGCUGUGGCGUGAGGAAGAGGUUCGCCACUCACUAACAAUAACCAAUAAUAAGGCAUUGGCUACAUCACAAAAUUACUUAAAGUAUUUUUUACUUUUUACAUAUUUGAAAGUGCUAAACCAAUUACACUGUUAAUCUUAUGACAGAAAUUGUAAUCUUUUCUUUGGUAGUAA